AAAGGAAGAAAGAAGCAAUUUUAAGGGACUCUCCAACAAAACAGAACAGCCAGCACAAAGCCCACUGUUCCUUCAAACAGAAGUUUCAUUAUGCCAAUGCUAACACAGCUUCAGUACUCCUAAUAGAAGCAUCAUGUUGUUAGUCCUGUGCGGUUCUCUGAUAGCAGAAUUUUCAUCCAGGGAAUUCAAAAGCAAUAGAACAAGCCACAGACCGGCUCCCUUUGAACUCCUAGCCUUUCCUUUUCUCCUGGGAAGAGACUAUUUAUAGCUCCAGGGCCCUGCAGAUUUAACUCUAUGCUGUCUAACAUCCCUUGGGUCAAGCUCAAUGGAAAUACUGUCACAUGCCCCCAUAAGACCUGACCCCACUGCCAACUUAAUCUUCGCACAACAAAACUACAUUUGGGAACAUUUGAGUUAUGAGGGCAAUUACCUGAGAUGUCUAAGCGAAUGCAUUUUUUAGUUAGCUUCCUGUUUAAUAUCUCUACAAACAUCCUGGGUUAUACUUAGAAAUGGGAGGAGGGAAAUAAUGAAGCACUGGGGGCAUGGAUCUGUGCAGCCUAUGCUUCUCGUGGAGAACACAAUCUAGAGUCAGUCAAGAGACAUCGGUCAUAAAGCUUUUCUGCAACAUCAGCAAAAGCUGAGUUCAUUAUUUAAAGCUCUCUAGUUCUCUGUUACAACCUUUUUUUUUUUUUUUUUUUUUUUUUUGGAAAACGGGUACUUAUAUCUGGUUGCCAGGACAUCAGAGAACGCUUCAGGGAGGUAUCAGCGUUGUCUGUCCAAGCAUGAAGAGAUGAAACCUGUGUUGCUGUGGUUUCACGUGGCUAUCAAAGUUGCAGAACAUAAAGAUGAACAAACCUAACACUGCCAGAGCAUUUGCUCUGUACAUGGUUGUCCUCAGCAAGAACCUGGUUCUAGUUCAACACGCCUCUGGUGUUGAAUAACUGCGCUAACAAGCACAGGAACGACCAAUGUUCGCAACAGUAAAAGCUAAACUGGGAAACAGGCCUCAUGCAAGGAUGCUUCUGUUCACAGCUCUGUCAACAUACAUGUGCUGUUCAGACAACUCCUGAGCAAAGGCUGCCCAUGGCACUUAGUUGUACUAGAAAGACUUAAAUCCUAUUUAGAAAUAAACUACAUUUCAAAACAAGCGUCGUAUCUGCAAAGGGUACAAUUGAAAACAGACAAGUGCCAAUUCCUAUUCAUGUGCUAUAUGCUGCAUAUUUGGGGUAUGAAAAUCUCUCCUGGAAACUUAGUCUGAACAGUAAACUUCUGAACUAUAUUGUUAAUAAUCUUUUAAAAUUUCUAAAGGUUGCUACAUACGUAGUGUGUUUAUUAUGGCACAAAGCGCUACAGAGACAUUUCUUCUAAACUGAUGAAGAGAAUGCUUUGGUUUAAUGAUCAGUGUGGAACCACUACUGCAUGUCAACUUAGAGGGAUAAAAUGUGAUGUUAAUGUUUCUAUAAUCUCUUAGAUCUCUGCAGUUGUCACUUAACCAGAUGUUUUCAGUUAAUGCAACUGAAGUCUCAUCUGGUUUGCAUAUGUUUAAGAUCAUGUUUUUGCAAAUAAAGACUCCCAGAGAUUA